GUGUCAGCCGCCGCGGUAAUACGUAGGGGGCAAGCGUUAUCCGGAAUUAUUGGGCGUAAAGAGUGCGUAGGUGGUUUUGUAAGCGCGGGGUGAAAGGCAAUAGCUCAACUAUUGUAAGCCCUGCGAACUGUGAGACUUGAGUGCAGGAGAGGAAAGCGGAAUUCCUAGUGUAGCGGUGAAAUGCGUAGAUAUUAGGAGGAACACCAGUGGCGAAGGCGGCUUUCUGGACUGUAACUGACACUGAGGCACGAAAGCGUGGGGAGCAAACAGGAUUAGAUACCCUGGUAGUCCACGCCGUAAACGAUGAGCACUAGGUGUCGGGGCCGCAAGGCUUCGGUGCCGCAGUUAACGCAUUAAGUGCUCCGCCUGGGGAGUACGCACGCAAGUGUGAAACUUAAAGGAAUUGGCGG
rnacentral:rRNA from 1 species